AGGCCGCGCCUGUUUGGACGGACACACAUGACUGCAACACCCAGCUGAAACAAGGAAAAAAUGGACCCAAAAUGGAGGACAGCAGCGCUCACCCUGGUCUCCCUUCUCAUACUGGUCAACCUAGUGGGCGUAAUGGGAUUUCAGGCGACCGCUUGGACUGAGCGCGAGUUCAAAGGCCAGAACCAUUCUAUCACGGCUAGCAGCUGUGUAAAUUUGCCGCCUGAUUUUCAGAAAAAGGUAUCGUCCAUCAACACUCACGGAAGGUGUGUCACGCUGCACGACAGAAAAGAUUGCUCUGGCCGGUCAAUCGUCCUUUACCCCGGAAAUCCGCAUCACAACAAUCUCGCCGAGUGGAUCUUCGACAAUAAAGCUGCAUCCUUUGGUCCUUGUAGAUUUAAGCUGUGUAGUAACUGCAAGAGCAAAUUAGCAGAAAAUAACUAGAUGCAAGUGACCUAUGAGUUCUGAAUUAAAGCUGUGUUCGAAUUCGUGUGAAUUCAGCGAUAAGCAAUUGCAAACUCCAUCUUAGGAUAUGCAAGAUUGCAAGAGACAAGUCGUGAACACCAAAUGAUUUAUGACUAUUAUUUUAUAAAUAAUUUGAUAAAUAGGACAAGUCUGAGCAGAAAAAUGAUUGCAAAUAGAUCAAAUAAAAUUGAAACUUAUGAUUGAUUAAUCAAUAUCGAUGCAGAGUUUUAAUUCAGUUGCCAGAAAAAAUACUCAAUCUUAUUACGAAUAUACUAUUUACAAAUGAGCUGUAUAAUUAGGUGUGCUGUGAUAAUUAUGUAAAGUACACGUGACAAGAAAAUGCUGUGAUAUAAUGGAUUAUUAUUUUUAUACUAGCAUUUUUGUUAAGGGAAUUAGAAAGUGGGAGUUUUAGAAUUGAAUAUGCACUUUUUAAUUUGAAAUAAAUUUCGUUUUAGAAAGUUGACUAUAGUAAUUUAAUGUUUUUUUCUCCGAAAAAAGAAGAGUAGGAUAACAACAAAUAAAUUAUCAAUUUAUCUUGAAUACUUAAAGCUAAUUCUGAAUGUCAUCCAGUAUGAAAACUUAGUUUUGGGGUGUUUGAAAAUGGGAGGCAGAAAAAAAAAAAUGGCUAAUUUUUGCAUGUAAUUGGAAGAAAAAUUAGUAAAAUUUUCGGCUAGAUGUUGUAAUUUGGUAACAAUGCAACGAACAAUGAGUGUGGAUAUUGCAGCGUUGAAAUUCAGUUUCGUUCUUUCGUCUGAAAAACAGCGCGCAACGUAGCGUCUGCGUCUCAAAGCUUGCAGUACAAACUGUUGCAUACACCACUGUUUGAAGGCGUUUUGAAAGCCCAGUCCACUCAUUGACUCAUUACUUGGAUUCCUGCUGCUUGUAGCGAAAACGCAUGGCUUCGCGUAGACUGAAAACGUAACCUAUCGAUUACUCUAUCUAGUUUUAAACCAAUUCCCGCCGUGAUGAAGAUCUCUGUGGACGCAGACGCGUUGAAAGAUCGACUUCCCUGAUGAGUAGUGAGCGGUGGGACAGGUUCCCGUCUUCUAGAAGAAAAAACCGCGGCGAGCUCUAGGCGACAUAACAGUUUAAGUGCGAAUCAUGUAACUCAUGCGACUUAAACUGCCGAUUAUCGGUCGGCCACCGAUCAAAUCAGUAUUAGUGACCGCUGGCCUCAUAUGAGCCUGAUCAAAAAAAAUGACUGUUUUUACUCCGCCAAUGAGAUGUGGUAUCGUAGGCAAAGCAUUAUAAUAUCUAUGCUCCCCUCGAGGAAAGAUUCAAAUUGUUGUUGAAGUGUUGCAACAUGUAUCACGAUAGUAAUGUUAAAGGUUUUAGGACUGAUCCCCAUUUUGACAAAACCUGACAAAUUUAAGUUUAAUAUAUAUACAAUUUUGUAUCUAAUUACUGAUAAAAGUUGACAUGUUAGCGCAUGAAAUAUAAUUUUAAAUAUAGAUCAUCCCACAGUGGAAAAUUAAAGCUAUAUCCUGCAAAUCGGCGGUGAAAUUACCAGACCACGCAUCCUGCUUUGCAACAAUACAGACUUCCUGUCGUACUUCAUUUUUCUAUGGAAAACUACUCAACGCCAAUUCUUGAAAACCACCGUGAUUUUUCUUUUCAGUGCGUAACUUUGCGCAAACUUUAAGGAGUAAUAUUGAUUUGUUCUUUCCCAAAAAAUAAAAUGAGAAUGAAGAUUUUCAAACACUGCAAACCAGACACGUGGUCUGGUAAUUUUACCGUUGAAAUACAUUAUGACCUCAAAAUAUGAGAGCUCUUUAAUUUACAACGAUUGUCUUCGACAAUCGAUGGGGAUUGGACUGCGAUUUUAGAAUGAUUUUUUAAAUUAUUGAAUUCAAGUUUCAUUGUUUUCGGACGCUUAAGGUUCUAGUCACUUUCAAGUGCAGAAGGAAGACGAGAAGAAAAAUAUAGAGGAAGAAAACCCGUCUCUUUUUUUCGCUACUUCUUAUUUUUUUUUUAGUUUGUGUUUUAACAACUGUGCCAAAUGACUUUCAAUACAAUUAAUUUACUAAUUUUAUUUUCCCAGGGAUUAAGGCAUAUAUUGAGAACAGCAAAAAAUUAAACAGAAAGGUCACUUCUUACCUGGGUUGGAAGAAAGAAAUCCUUAACCAUUCAAGAACUGGCAAGAAUAAAACAUGAGCAAAUACUUACGUAAAUACUUGAAUUUGGAGUACUGUAAUAUAUCACAUUGUGCAGUUCCUUCCUGAAAAAAGGCAUAAAGACAAAGGGGUAAAUGCAUCUACUGUAACGCAUUCACACGUUCAUUCAUUGAUAACGGUCAGCAAUAUAGGUAAAGUGAUGAUUAUCACCAGAUACUGUGUGAUCUUGCUGUAAUUCUUAUGAACAUAUUUUUUUUUUUUUUUUUUUUUUUUUUUUUUUUUGCUUUAGAAAUGAAUUAUAACUGUUCUGUUUAAAUUACUUGCCUUGUGCAAAGUAUCACAUAUACAAAAUAGGAAACUUAAAGUAACUUAAAAUAAGAUUAGCUUAGGAAGAGUUGUAAGUAUUUAUGGCUCGAGAACGUAAUCAGAACAUCAGUUUAAAGGGUAAUUUUCUUUGCGCGAGUUGCAAAGAAUUUUAUCUUUUGAACUAAUUAAAAGUCAAGAACCAAUGUUAACAAAUGGUGUUUUCAUCAUCAAAACAAUUAACUCUAUUUUUAUUGUAUGAAAUUUUAAAUAUGUACUUAUCAAAAUUUUUAACACACCAGCCUUACUCAUGAACUUUUUUUGGUUUUUAUUCAUCAGGCGGAUGACAAGGCCGUAUAAAACAAAAUGGACCGUCUCUUUUUUCUUUUUUGUACACAUAAUUAAUUCUAGCAGUUAUAUGCUAUGAGCCUAUGAGGUAAGGACCCCAAGGAGAGAUAGAGUACCAUGGGCAUUUGAGCGGUCUACGUAGAAAAGUUAUUUCAAUUUAAAAAGUUUAAAUUACUCCCGUGCUGAUGACCGUAAUUAUAAAUGAAGGUAGCAUCUGGGCUGUAAAACGACGAGAAUGCUGCACACUCUGGUAGCACAUGGUCGUUAACGGCCAAAUUAAUUUAGCAAACAUACAGCUAUAAAACAGUUCAAAAGACAUAAUGGGAUGUAACACUGAUGAGAGGAAAGAAAGGUUCUUGAUCUCUAGGAUUGAAAACGAGAGUGGUCAUUAUACUACCUCUAAGAUGUUAAUAGCAUGCUGCACGAUCCAAACUCACUAAACUGAACGGUUUUAAUUUGCGCUCAUUGUGAAACAUUCGCAUGUUAUAAAACAGAAAGAGGUGUUUGGGGACGAGCUCACCCGCCUGGCUGAGCUGACCUGGACCAAAGAAAUGAAUAAGUUCAUCCGAAAUGCACGAAGUGACCGCUCUCGAUUAUGCAAGGAUAUUUUUCGGCGAGAUGGAAAAAAACUUGGAAACGAGUUAAAAACAAGGACCAUUCGAAAAAGUCUGCGGAGGUCGACGAAACAGCUUUAGGUCAGUUACUGGGUUACGGUGGCGCAGGGCGUAACAUGUUGCCAUACUUUUGUAUUUGAAUAAUUAACUGCAUAAAAGGAAUCAAGUGGGUGCUAAACAAUAUCAAUAAAAUAAUUAAUUCCGACUCUUGCCCCGCAAUGGAUAACCAACACGUUUCGUAAAAAAUGUUCAACGGAUCAGUUUUUACCUUUUAUUUUGAAACUUCGAUUUGUGGACUAAAAAGGCUGAGCUUUAUUGCCAUAAAAUUAUAGGUAUAUACGAUAGAAUGUUUCUCCUUGAACAAGGGGUGUGGGGGGAGGGGGUGAGAGAAAGUCUCAGAGCAAUUCUUGGUUUUCCACAUUGACCUAUUUCUUUUGUCCAAUAUUAGGAUUCCGUCCAAAUUGCUUUUUUAGCAAAACUAAAUGUGUCGAUGCUGAGAGGAAACCUGCUUCAUUCCAUUUCUGGAUGACUCAUUGCAUAAAAGCAUAUAUUACUCAAUAUAUUUUUAGAAAAGCUUUAUUCGUCUUAUUAACUUUAUGCAUUUUUUUCCAAUUUGAGAUCAGACUAAAAAGAUACAUGAAUUCCUCUACAGUGCGUAUGGGAAAAAGUUAGCAACUAUGUUUGUGUAUUGCAGGUCAUUUUUAAUGUGUCUAUACCACCAAAGAAUUCAUUUUUUGCGCAAAGAAAAUUUUAUGAAUCCAUAGUAUUAUAAUGAUUUCUUUCGACUCAAAGGUCAAAUGAAUUAUUUUAAUUAUAUAAUCGGAAACUUUUGCAUAAGCCAGGGUUAACAUUGGCAAGUGGCAAUUUCAGAUUAAAAAUUCGAUCAUAUCAUUUGAAGAAGAAUUCAAAAGCAAACCGAAGAAGUUCAACAUAAAUAGAUGUUCCUUAGCAUAAUUCAGUUUUGAAGAAAUAAUUAUUUCAAAUUAAUUAUUGCUAUGUACUGACGAUGAAGCAGUAAUAUUGCACUUAAUUCCCUGAAAUUCGUCUUUUGUUUUUUAAUAAGUUCAAUCCAUUCGCACGAUAGCAUGCAUUCUAGACGUUCAACAAAGCUGUCUCAGUAAAAUACGAGAUUUUCUCGGUCAAUCUGGCAACUGCAGGGCCAACUCCGGAGCCAUGCGUGAGACGUGUUGAGCAUGCGCCGACCAGCGU
rnacentral:lncRNA from 1 species